AGGACGAACGCUGGCGGCGUGCUUAACACAUGCAAGUCGAGCGGUAAGGCCCUUUCGGGGGGUACACGAGCGGCGAACGGGUGAGUAACACGUGAGCAAUCUGCCCUUCACUUCGGGAUAAGCCUCGGAAACGGGUCUAAUACCGGAUAUGACCGCGCUACGCAUGUGGUGUGGUGGAAAGUUCUGGCGGUGGAGGAUCGAGCUCGCGGCCUAGUCAGGUAGUUGGUGAGGUAAAGGCUACACCAAGCCGACGACGGGUAGCCGGACCUGAGAGGGUGACCGGCCACGACCGGGACUGAGACACGGCCCAGACUCCGUACGGGAGCAGCGAGUAGGGGAAUA
rnacentral:rRNA from 1 species